rnacentral:rRNA from 1 species
UACAGAGGUCUCAAGCGUUGUUCGGAUUCAUUGGGCGUAAAGGGUGCGUAGGCGGCGCGGUAAGUCGGGUGUGAAAUCUUGGAGCUUAACUCCGAAACUGCAUUCGAUACUGCCGUGCUUGGGGACUGGAGAGGAGACUGGAAUUUACGGUGUAGCGGUGAAAUGCGUAGAUAUCGUAAGGAAGACCAGUGGCGAAGGCGGGUCUCUGGACAGUUCCUGACGGCUGGAGGCACGAAGGCCAGGGGAGCAAACGGG